rnacentral:rRNA from 1 species
GGUCUUGACAUCCCGGAGACCUUACGGAGACUAGGGGUGCUCCAUCUGGAAGAAUCUGGAGACAGGUGCUGCAUGGCUGUCGUCAGCUCGUGUCGUGAGAUGUUGGGUUAAGUCCCGCAACGAGCGCAACCCUUGCCUUUAGUUGCCAGCAGUUCGGCUGGGCACUCUAAAGGGACUGCCGGUGUUAAACCGGAGGAAGGUGGGGAUGACGUCAAGUCCUCAUGGCCUUUAUGACCAGGGCUACACACGUACUACAAUGGCCGAUACAAAGGGCAGCGACACUGCGAGGUGAAGCCAAUCCCGUAAAAUCGGUCUCAGUCCGGAUUGGAGUCUGCAACUCGACUCCAUGAAGUUGGAAUCGCUAGUAAUCGUGGAUCAGCAUGCCACGGUGAAUACGUUCCCGGGCCUU